rnacentral:SRP_RNA from 1 species
GCACUGUGCAAUUGAGCUCCGCCCAACCCCGUCAGGAUCGGAAGGUAGCAGCGGUAAGCGGUAGCCAAUGUGAUGCAGUCUGCUUGG